UGGACUUGACAUAGUAAGAACUUUUUAGAGAUAAAGAGGUGUCUGCUUGCAGAAACUUAUAUAC
rnacentral:rRNA from 1 species